CACUGGCAGAAACUACAGCAGUAAGCCACCAUGUUCAGAAACUCAGAAUUCACAGUCAUAAACAUUCUAUAGAUAGACACACAGACGCACAAGAGCAGUUAGGUGUUUGGAUGAAACGCAGAUGGAUGAAACGCAGAUGGAUGAAACUUGAUCAGAUCAGUACAACAGGAGCAGACACUCGUCCUCAUGAAUGCAUGCAGGUUGGAGCGGCUGGUGGAAGUGCUGAGGAACAAGCUGGGGAAAGGCAGCGUCCGGAAGGUCAUCUGACGGAGACAGACACAGAAGGUCAACAGCAGUCUGUCCACUCUGUUCCUUGUUUUGUCCCAAAUGGCACCCUAUUCCCUAUAUAGUGCACUACUUUUGCGCAUAGCCCUAUAUCCCUAUAGGUGCCAGUUGAAAGUAGUGCACUGUAAAGGGAAUAGGGUGCCAGUUGCGACACAGCACAUCGCUGCACUGUCCGAACUGGAGCUACCUGACCCACCGGCUAGUGGAACAGCCACAUCUGGUCACCAGGCUUCCUCCCUGCCUGCCCAGGCCCAGGCUGCUGCUGUUUAACGCUGUGUAAACACAACCAAGCCUUAACUGGGCAAACAGUUGUUAGAAGUGCUGCACUCCAAAGCCUCAUUCCAGUCUAGGCUCAAACUGAAUAGUAAAUGUUUACCCACUUGGGUUGUUGGUUUGUUGCUGCCCACUUCUCUCAUUCUCUCUCUCUGUUUCUUUCUUAAAUUGUACAUUUUACUUUACUGACCAUCUUGUUUCGAUUUUUUUUUGUCAACACAUUUUGGUAUUGAUGUUUGUGUUGCUGCCUAUCUACAGUGAGCUCCAGAAGUAUUGUGACAGUGACAAAUGUGUUGUUUUGGCUCUGUACUCCAGCACCUUGGAUUUCAAAUGCCACACACUUCUACAUUAGUGUGGAUGCUACCAUGAUUACGGAUUGUUCUGAAUGAAUAAUGAUGAGUGAGAAAGUUAGACACACAUCAUACCACCACAAAAAUGC